UACGUAGGGUGCAAGCGUUGUUCGGAAUUACUGGGCGUAAAGGGCGCGUAGGCGGCCCGUCAAGUCCCGUGUGAAAGCCCCCGGCUCAACCCCGGGCCUGCAUUCGAUACGGGCAGACUAGAGUUCGGUAGGGGAGUCUGGAAUUCCUGGUGUAGCGGUGAAAUGCGCAGAUAUCAGGAGGAACACCGGUGGCGAAGGCGGGACUCUGGGCCGAUACUGACGCUGAGGAGCGAAAGCGUGGGGAGCAAACAGG
rnacentral:rRNA from 1 species